rnacentral:lncRNA from 1 species
GUGAUAUGCCAGGGCACCAAACCCUCAAGUCAUCGUCUACACCCAUUACUCACCUCAAUCCAGCCGCAAACUAGAUCCCCAAUGCGUUUCCCUUGAGAAUCAACCUCCGCGGAUGCCGAAUCUGAUCAAAAUCAAUAGGAAUACGUCAAAAUAACCCAAUCGAAAUAACUCGAAAUAAACACAAAAACACAAAGUUGGAAAAACCAGAGCCCGGGGCCCACUUCUCAAUAUCCAGGAAAUUUUACAUCAAAAUGAUCCUCAUCUCGCUACAAGUCUGUACAUAUAAAAUUCAUCAAAAUCGGAGUCCAAUUGCUCCUUCAAAUCCUCAAUAUACAUUCAAAAUUCCAAGCCCUAGUUCAUCUCCUUUUUGAUUUGAUUCCAAAAAUUUAAGGGCUAAAUUCAUGUUUAAAAGAUGUUUUAAGUCCAUAAAACUUACCUCUAAUUAGUGCUCUUUGAAUUCCUCUUCAAUUUGCUCCAAAAUCUUUCCAAGAUGUCCAACAAUGGAGGAAAUAAGGCCUUGCUCACGGAUGAAAUGUAAUUUAAAAACUCUUUGCCCAGCUGAACGACCUUUUUGUCGCGAACGCGGAGCCCACCCACGAACGCGAAGGCCAACUGCCUCUCCUUCUACGCGAAUGCGACAUCCAGUCACAAAACGUGAUGCAUAUACCCUGGGUCCCUCAAGAGCCCCCUUCACGAACGCGUCACCUCUUUGCGAAUGCGACGUGCACAAUAUACUGGCCCUCAAAAUCCUUCUAUGCGAACGUGUUCAACGAACCGCAAACGCGAUGCCUAACUUCCCAAAACAAUGCGAACGCGAAGACCAAAUUCCAGGCCUCCCAAUUUCCUCUACUCUUCGCGACUCAUCCAUGUGAACGCGAAGAGUGUUUCUCUGCAAGACCAACAGCUGUGCACCAGCAUUCUUCCAUGUCCAAAUAUAUCCCGGUUUACCCUCCGAAAUCAACCCGAGGCCCCCGGGAUCUCAACCAAAAGCACCAACAUGGCCAAUUACCUCAUUCAAACUUGCUCGGUCCAUAAAAACACUAACAUUAACAUCAAAAUCACCAAAUUCCUCAAAUUCAAGGCUAAGUCAAACUAGAACUUUUCCAAAUUCGCAUUCGAUGCCGAACCCAAACAAACGAAGUCCGAAUGACCUGAAAUUUAGCACACAUAUCCAAAUUCACCUAACAAAGCUACUGCAACUCUCAGAAUUCCAUUCCAACCCUCGUAUCAAAUUCUCGCAUACCAUCCGGAUUUCUCCGAAAUUCCAACUUCGCCAAAAUAGGCUAACUUUCACUCCGGACCUCAUAAUUCACUUCCGUUUUCACUCCUAAGUCAUAAAUCAUCCUCCGAAACUGGUCGAAUCAUCAAAAAUCCAUUCCGAGCCCACUAACUCACAAGUCAACGUCUUGUUGACUUUUCCAACUCAAGCUUUCCUUAAAGAGACUAUGGGUCUCAUUUCUAACCAAAUUCAACCCAACACACUUCAAAUUCACAAAACACAUAUAUCAACACACGGGGAAGCAUAAAACGGGGAUAACGGGGCUGAAAUACAAUAAGGCAGCGGAUCGGGUCAUCACAUUUAAUCCACUCCUAGUACCCAAGGUUAUGAAUUAUUUCCUUCAAGGAUAGAACGAAAUACACAUUGGUGUAGUAGUACUUAAAACCCCACUAUUUUAGCGAACACAAAGUUUGGCAUCAAAUCAACUUAUUGUGACUUUCUUUGAAGUUAAAGUAUGCAGAAUAAAGGUGGAGAACUUAUAAAUUCAUAUGGAAAUUCUGAGAGAAUGGACUUGUUUAUAGCCAAUGUUGGGCUGGAAACGGAAGAGGUGCCACUCUUCAGAAUGGCUGUUUUAUGCAAAAAGACCAUAGCAUAAUUGCCAUUACAUAAAUGGCUAUUUACUCAAUAAUAAACAGGAAAAAUUGAAGAAGGUGGUUAAUUUUCUGUUACAAAAAUAGAAAACGAAAAAAUAGAAAACGGUUGGAUUUCUUAAUAAGAUUAUUGGAUUCAAUAUUAAUAUUCGGUUAUUAAAAUAGAUAUUUAAUAAUGUUUGAGUUAAUAUUUACUAUUAACGAAUAAAUUUGGUCAAAAAAAUUAAUCAAUCAAUCAUUUGACAAAAUCCGAAUUCGAAUCUAAAUUCGAGCCGAGCGAGCGACGGUGACGCCGCGAGGCUUGCCUUCUUCUCAACUCUUUAAGAGCUAGAAGAAGAUCAAUUGCUUAUAUACCCAUAAAAAACCUCUUCCUCAUCCAAUAUGGGACAAUGUCCCUUCAUCAAGGAGGAAAUCUCAAAUGAAACUCAAAUAUUUUAUUUUCCCUCCAUUUCCAAUUCACUCUCUUUAAGCAUUAAUAUACUUAAAAAACAAUCCUCCCACAUGAAUGUGGAAUGGCUAUAUCAUAGAAACAUGCAUGAAAAACUGUGUGAUUCUCAAGCAAGGAUUAGUUGCAUCUGGAUAAGUAAGUUUCCCUUUGAACUUUCCGUAGUAAACUUAUGUCGGAUAUACUCGGUCAAUCGGUAGAUUUGAUAUCUUUGAACCGUCAAAUUUUGGUGUAUACCUAGAAAACCACAAGUCACACACCCAACCCUUAACCGUCUUUGGUUCUCAUUGUUGUGUUCAUUUCAACCAUGAACAUCGCAUGGUUUCAUAAGUGCGUAGAGAACUGGCCUUACAAAUUCUCCAUGAAUCGGCUAAAACUUCGUACUUAUAUAAGUGAUUCCUAAAUGUGUCAUCCCGUAUAUAUACUAUUUGAUAUACCGCAUAUCAAAUUUAGUAAUCAUUAAAGAGCCUUGAUGCUUUAUCCUUGGUACUGAACAUUGUCUCAUCAUGAGAAUGUAGCAAUAUUUUAGUUGACAAUAUUGAACCGUCAUUAAUGACUUUGUUUGAUUUCCUUGAACCAAAAUCUUGGGAUCUUCAGUCUUCUAGGUAGAGUUAUCGCCACAAUUACUUGUUCUCGGACAUAGUCCCAUUCCCCUUGAUGAUUUCUCAACUACCUCUAUAGUUAGGCCUUUUGCAAGUGGAUCCGAUACAUUAUCACUUGACUUUACAUAGUCAAUCUUAUUAAUUCCUCCAGAGACUAAUUGCCUAACGAUUUUAUUUCUUCGUCAUAUAUGACGAGAUUUAUUGCUAUACAUAACUCUCCCAGCCCUUCCAAUUUCUGCUUGACUAUCACAAUGUAUGCAUAUUGGUGCCAAUGAUUUGGGCCAGAAAGGAAUGUCUUCAAAGAAACUCCGGAGCCAUUCAGUUUCUUCACCGGCUUUAUCUGAGGCUAUGAAUUCAGCCUUCAUUGUAUAGCAGGCGAUACAAGUUUGUUUGGAUGCUUUCCAAGAUACCGCUCCUCUACCAAUAGUGAAUACAUAUCCACUUGUGAACUUAGAAUCAGUUGAAACGGUGAUCCAAUCUGCAUCAUAGUAUCCCUCAAUCACCGCAGGAUAUUUACUAUAGUGCAAAGCAAACUUCUGGGUGUUCUAAAUAUCCCAAAACCUAUUUCAUUGCCAUCCAGUGAGAUUUACCUCGAAUGCUCGUGUAUCGACUCAAUUUACCUAUAACAUAAUUUAUAUCUAGUCGUGUACAAUUCAUGAUGUACAUUAAGCAUCCCAGUAUACGAGAAUAAUCCAAUUGUGAUAUGCUUUGACAUUUGUUCUUUACUAACGCAAGAUUCACGUCAAUUGGAGUCUUUGCAACUCUAAACCCUAAAUGCUUGAAUUUUUCAAGUACUGUCUUAAUAUAAUGAGAUUGUGACAAUGCCCAACCUUGAAGAGUCUUAUGGAUAUUAAUUCUCAAAAUUAAAUCAGCAACUCCCAAGUCCUUGAUGCCGAGCUUGCCAGUUAGCAUACACUUAGUCGCAUUUAUACUGGCUAUGGCAUUUCUCAUUAUCAUCAUAUCAUCCAUAUAUACGCUAACAAUGACUAUGUGAUUUGGAAUAUUUUUAAUUCACACAUAUUUAUCAUAUUCAUUUAUCUUAAAAUCAUUUGACAACAUUAUUAGGUCAAAUUUUGCAUGCCAUUAUCUGGUUGCUUGUUUUAGUCCGUAAAGGGACUUAACAAGUCUACAGACCUUCUUUUCUUUAUGUGGAACCACAAACCCUUUAGGUUGUUCCAUGUAGAUUUUCUCCUCCAAAUAUCCAUUCAAGUAGGCCAUCUUAACGUCCAUUUGAUGAAUUUCAAGACCAUACAUUGCAGCUAAUGCAACUAACAUCCGUAUGGACUUAAUUCUUGUAAUUUGGGAGUAUGUAUCAAAGUAGUCAAGACCUUCUUGUUGUCUAUACCCUUUCAAGUCUUGCCUUAAAUUUAUCAAUAGUGCCAUCAUUUAAAGGUUUAUUUCCAUGAGGAUGAUCAACCAAUUCCCAUGUAUGCAUGUUCAAUAUGGAUUCUAUUUCAUUGUUGAUUUGCCUCUUUCCAAAACAAUGACUUCGAAGAAGACACAUCUUCUUUAAAUGUUUGAGGCUCAUUCACCAUUAUGAAAGUCAAAAAAUCUGGUGCAAAUGAAGUAGAUGUUCUUUGACGUUUACUACUUCUUGGAUCCUCUUGAUUAAAUGUACUUUCCUUUGUUUCUUCCCGAGGUCGUUAGAUCCUUCACCAAUCGAAUCACACUCAUUUUUAUAUGGAUAUAUAUUUUCAAAGUACUCAACAUUAUCUGAUUCUAUAACCGUAUUAUUAUGAAUGUCGGGAUUUUAUAAUUUAUGAAGUAGAAAUCGAUAUGCUUUACAAUUGGUCGCAUAUCCUUUGAAAACACAAUCAAUGAUUUUUAUUCCUAUUUUUAUCCUUUUGGGUUUAGGGACUUGCACUUUUGCCAAAUACCCCACACUUUAAAAUAAUUAAAGUUGUGCUUCCUUCUUUUCCAUUUUUCAUAUGGAAUGGAUUUUGUUUUGCUCUGGGGUACUCAAUGUAGUAUUAGGUUAACUGUGAGAUUGGCUUCCCCCCACAAGUUCUGUGGAAAACUGGAACUUAUCAACAAUGUGUUCAUCAUCAUUUCUUUAGUGAAUGAUUCUUUCUUUCUGCAACCCCAUUGGAUUGGGGCGUGUAAGGGGCGCUGUUUGAUGAAUAAUUUCAUAUUCUAAACAUGUUUAUUAAAAGGGAGAUUUAUAUUCACCACCCGUACCACUUCUUAUCAUUUUGAUUUUCUUGUUAAGCUGCGUUUCAACUUUAUUUUUGUAUUGCUUCUAUUUCUUCAUUUUUACUAUUAACUAAGUAAACAUAGUAAUAUUGAUUACUAUCGUCAAUAAAAGUUAUAAAUACUUCUUUCCACCGCGAGAUGAUAUUGGCUUCAUGUCUCAAAUAUCUGUAUGAAUUAAGUCUAAAGGAUUUGAAUUACUCUCAACUAACUUAUAAGGAUGCUAAACAUACUUAGACUCCACACAUACUUGACAUUUUGAUUUUUCGCAUUCAAACCUAGUCAAUACUUCCAAAUUUAUCAUUUUCCACAAGGUUUUAUAAUGAUACGACCCAAACGUAUAUGAUAUAAAUCAUUUGACUAAAGUAAGUACGACGAAGCUAAAAUUUUAUUAUUAUUCUCAACAACCAUUACACUCAGCUUGAAAAGGCCCUUAGUGAGGUAACCUUUUCCUACAAAUAUUGUGUUCUUACUUAUUACAAACUUAUUGAAUACAAAAACAUAUUUAAAAUCAUUCUUAAUAAGAAGUCUAGCAGAGAUAAAAUUCUUCCUAAUCUCAAGAAUAUGAAGGACAUUGUUCAAAGUCACCACUUUGCCAGAAUUCAUUUUCAGAAAUAUCUUCCCACGUCCUUCUAUCUUGGCCAUUACACAAUUUACCAUAGAAAUCGUCUCUUCGGGUCCAACAACAACAUAUGUAGCAGAAGCUUCCCCAACAUCACAAACAUGGCGAUUGGCUCCAAAAUCAAUCCACCACUCCUUAGGAUUUCCUACCAGGUUGCAUUCAGAAAGCAUAACACACAAGUCAUCAACAUCUUCAUGCUUUUCAACCAUGUUUCCUUGACCCUUCUUCUUGUCUUUCUUUGGAGCACGACACUUGUGACGACCCGACCUGUCAUCUUAUGUGUUACUGCUUUGUUUCCCCCUUAUUGUGUUGUUUCAUGUUUCAAUACCAGUAUUAGAGUUGAUCGGGUGUAAUUGAAUUUAUUUUGGUUGAAAUUAAGGCACAUGGCCUCUUAGAAGGAAGCUUAUUUUGGAAAAUUUAACCGGAAGUUGACUUGUGAGUUAGAAGGAUCGGAUGUGAUUUUCGAUGAUUCGGUUAGCUUUGGGAGAUGAUUGUGACUUAGGAGAGCGAUCAAAAUUGAAUUUGGAGUCCGGUGAAGAAUUAGUCUUGAAUUGGCGAAGUUUGAAUUUUGGCGGAUCCCGGUUGAUAGGUGAGAUUUUGAUCCGAGGGUCGGAAUGGAAUUUUGAGAAUUGUAGUAGCUUCCUUAGGUGAUUUUUGAUAUUGAAUUUUGGCGGAUCCCGGUUGAUAGGUGAGAUUUUGAUCCGAGGGUCGGAAUGGAAUUUAGAGAGUUGCAGUGGAUUUUAGGUGAGUUUUGAUAUGUUUGUAAAUUUUUCAGGUCAUUUGGACGCCGUUUAGUUGGGUUUUUGAUCAAAUGUACAAAUCGGAAGCUUUGAAGAAAAAUAGGCUCGAAUCCAUGGUAAUUUGAUGAUUUUGUGUUGUUGUGUGUGUUUUGAGGAUUGGAACAAGUUUGUAUGGGGUCUUGGGAUAUGUUAGUACAUUUGGUUGAGGUCCCGGGGGCCUCGGGGUAAUUUCGUGUGGCUUUCGGGAUGAAAUCUUAAGUUGAGAAGUGGCAGAUCUUGCUGGUGUCUGGUAUGAGCGCUUCUGCGAAAAAAUGGACCGUAAAAGCGGCUCCGCGGAAGCGUGAUGUUGGUUGCAUAAGCGGUCAAAUGUGGAGCUGGGUUGUUCCGCAGAAGCGAAACUCUUUUUGCCUAAGCAAGUCCACGGAAGCGAACGUGGGGUUGCAGAAGCGGCCAAUGGGGGAGUUGGCGGAACUCUUUUCGCCUAAGCGAGUCCACAGGAGCGGACGUGGGGUCGCAGAAGCGGACAAUGGGGGAGUUGGCCUGGAUCAUGGAUGCGGAAGGAUAACCGCAUAGGCGGUGACCACGUAAGCGAUUGUUGACCGAAAAAGCGGUCCCUAGGAGAAAAGGUUGGACCGCAUCAGCGGUCGAAAGGUCGCAGAAGCAAGAUCCGCAUAAGCGGAGGUAUGACCGCAGAAGCGGAAAUCGAGCUGGGCAGAAGGGUUAAAUUAUCAUUUUUCAUCCGCGGGGGUUAUGCAUUUUCUUCCAUUGUUGAGAAUUUUUGGAGCUUCUUGAGAACAAUUGAAGAGUAAUUCGAAGUCCGCGAGGGUUAUGCAUUUUCUUCCAUUAUUGAGUAUUUUCGGAGCUUCUUGAGAACAAUUGAAGAGGAAUUCGAAGAGGACCGAUUGGAGGUAAGUCUUAUGGAUUCAAAACGUAAUUUAAUCGAAGAAUCAUCCAUUAAUUCUCUGAAUUUGGGUAUGAAAUUGAAGAAGCAAGGGCUUGAGUUUUUGACAUUUACAAAUUGGGAUUUGAUAGGUCAUUUGAGCUCGGAUUUGGGAGUUCUUGGUAUGUAUGAAAUCGUGGUGAGACGAGGAUUCCGGAAAUGUAAGUUUCGUAAUUUUUCGAGAAGCGGGCCCGGGGCUUAGGUUUUGCUAGUUUCGGGAUUCUUGUCAUAUUCCAAUUGUUUUCGAUUGGGUAUUGUACCAUUUGCAUAUUGUGAUGUAUUCACUCUGUUUUUGUCUAGAUUCGACGCGCGUGGAGGCCGAUUUGAGGGGCAAAGGCGUCGCGAGCUUGAGAUUUCGCNNNNNNNNNNNNNNNNNNNNNNNNNNNNNNNNNNNNNNNNNNNNNNNNNNNNNNNNNNNNNNNNNNNNNNNNNNNNNNNNNNNNNNNNNNNNNNNNNNNNNNNNNNNNNNNNNNNNNNNNNNNNNNNNNNNNNNNNNNNNNNNNNNNNNAGUAAUACUUGGGAAUGAUAUCCUGAGGGUUUGAAACCCCGGAUUUGCACAUCUUAGUGCUGUAUUAUGGUGACUUGCACGCUGGACCUGAGCGUGGCGUCGAGCACCAUUGGGGAUCGUGACUUGGUCCGUCCCGGUUGUUGGUUUUCACCACGUAUUUGCAAAUGAUUUGUUGUUAUCAUUAUGACUUUGGCUUAUUGCCAUACUUGGGGCUUAUUGCCGAUUGUUUGAACUCUUUGUGUGCUAUCAUCAAUGUUUUACUCACUAUUUGAAAUAUUAUUUGAACUCAGUCCAUGUGAUUUACACUGUUUCAUGAACUCGAAUAUAUUUUUACUAAAACUUGAGUUUUAACUGAUAUUUGAACUAUUAUUUGAGCUGAGUAUUAUUGUUUUACUGAUGCCCGAGGGGCUUUUUGACAAUUUUUAACUGAUUGAGGUUGAGGGCCAUACGUGAGGGCAUGAAGAUGAUGUAAGGAGGCUUUAGGCCUCGAGUGUUAUGUGUAUAUGUGCAUAUACAUGCAUUGUUCGGACUUCACGCCGCAGUAGCAUAUUGCAUGGAUCGGGCUGCACGCCACAGCGGUGUGAUAUUAAUAUUGCGCUUGGGCUGUAGGAGCCCCUCCGGAGUCAAAACCCCCACAGUAAGCGCGGGUACCCAAUUGGAUCGGGCUACGCGCCGUAGCGGUAAUAUGCAUUGCAUUGCAUUCAUGCAAGUACUCCUGCUUGAACUAUGUGGCAUGACAUUUAGCACUCAUAUAUCAUUAACAUACAUACUGUUACUUGCCUUGUUGACCAGAUACCCUGGUGUUAUAUGUUAAGGAGUGCUGAGCCCGAGAGGCUGAUGUUGGAUAUUGUGAGUUGGNNNNNNNNNNNNNNNNNNNNNNNNNNNNNNNNNNNNNNNNNNNNNNNNNNNAUGUUGGAUAUUGUGAGUUGGGAGUGAGCCCGCGGGGCUGAUACUGUACUGAGAGGUUGAUACUGAGCCCGAGGGGAAGGUUUCUGAUUACUUCCUACAUGUUGAAAUUACCUUUGCAACUGUUGAAAAAGCAUAUUUUCAAAGAGAUUUUGAACUGAUCUUGAGAUUUCUAAAGGAUUUUUCACAGUAUUUCGAUUUUCCUAAAAAAGGGUUGUUCUGUCUUUUAUAGCAGUCUGGUGUUAUCGUACGUGUUUUCUUAUCGCUUAGAGAUUAUUCUUAUUACCACUGAGUUGGAAGUACUCAUUUUACUCCCUGCACCUCGCGUGCAGUUGCAGGUACUGAUCACCCGGUAGCGGUUUAGUAGCGGAUUGAAUGUUUUGCUAUCGUAGCUAAGUUAGGUGACCGCCGACGUUUGCGACAUCGAGAUUCUUCUUCUUCUUGAUUCCCAGAUUUUACUCUAUGUAUUGUUGACUUCACUCCUAGAUGCUCAUGACUUGUGACACCCCGGUCUGGUUGUAUUGGAAUGAAAUUUUAUAGUUAAAUGGUAUUAAGUAAUAUUUCUAUUCAUUUAUAUUUAAUAGCUGCCUAAAGAGUUUUUUGGGUUGUUGGCUGGCCUUGUCUUCACGAGAGGCGCCAUCACGACUGGGUAUGGAAUUGGGGCCAUGACAACACUCAUUAGAUUUUUCCCAGCUUUCCCAUAGUUGUAGCAAUUUCCGUUGAACUGCUUCUUGCUUACGUUGAUUUUUGCUCCAGAAGCCUGCUUCCUCUUUCUCUUAUUUUGAGAACUAUCCUCAAUAGUGUUUGCUUCCAUUAUUGUUGAGCUUCCACAACCUCUCUUUUUAGCAGCUUUGUUGUCCUCUUCGAUUCUCAAGUGAACAAUGAGAUUUUCAAGCGACAUCUCCUUGCGUUUGUGUUUUAAGUAGUUUUUGAAGUACUUCCACAAAGGAGGCAACUUUCCAUUCAUCGCUGCUACUUACAAUGCUUUAUUGAUGAAAAGACCUUCAAUGAAAAUUCUGUUAGUAAAAAUACUAAAAUUACUACUUUCAACAUCAAUAUUGAUUGGAUUUAUACCUUCAGCAAGGAGAUCGUGAAUAAUCACUUGUAAUUCUUGGACUUGGGUAAUGACAGACUUACUAUCUAUCAUUUUGUAGUCCAAAAACUUAACGGCAACGAAUUUCUUCAAACCGACAUCUUCAGUUUUGUAUUUCUUUUCAAGCGCAGUCCACAAUUCUUUUGACGUCUCCACGCCACUGUAGAUGUUAUACAGAUCGAACUCCAGUUAGCUAAGAAUAUAAUUCUUGCACAGAAAAUUAGAAUGCUUCCACGCCUCAAUCACAAGAAAUCGUUCAGUCUAUGGAGUUUCAUCGAGCAGCACAGGAAUAUCUUCCUGAUGAACUUCUGUAGACUUAAAGUAGUCAAGCAGAAGAACAUCUUUUACCUCCAGCGCUUGAAAUCAAUUCGGAAAAAUUUUCUGGGUUUUUUGCAGGUGCCAAUGCUGGUGUUCGGCUUGUUGAUACAUUGGCAGUCACCAUUGGAAUAACCUGGUUCCUGUUAUCAUUAGUCAUUUUUAUAAAAGAAUGACAUAACAAACGUUAAAUUCACGUAGAUUUCAAUCUCCAACGUAGUAUAAAACCACAACGGUUUUAAUCUCCAGAAUAAUGAAUAUAACACAAAUACAAAAUAUAAAUUAAAUUCUGUAAGCUUUUUAGUAAACUGUAUUUGUAAAAUAAUUCCGGAGAAAUAAUAUAAUAUAAAUAAAAAUACAAAUAAAACAGAAGUUAAUCCGAGCCCCAUUGAAUUUAUAGUGUUUCGUUAAAGAAUUGAAUCUUCUCCUAGUACCCAAAGUUCUGGUUUAUUUCCUUCCAGGAUAGAACGAGUUACACAUUGAUGUAGUGGAAAUUCAAACCCCAGUGUUUCAGCGAACACAAAGUUCGUUAGCAAAUCACACUUACUGUUGCUUUCUUUGAAGUUAAAAGUAUGCAGAAGUAAGGAGGAGAACUUAGAAAUUCGUAUGGGAGUUCUUAGAGUAGGGGUGUUCAUGAAAAUCCGAAAAAUUGAACCAAAUCGAAAACCAAACCAAACCGACCCAAAAAACAGAUAUAUUUUGGUUUGGUUUUGAAUUUUAAAAACCGAUCAAAUUUAGUUUUGUCUUGGUUUCAAUAAAAAAACUGAACCAAACCGCCUAUAGAAGUAACUAUUUUAAAUUUAUUAUUACACCUAUAUAUAUGUAUAUUUUUAUACAAAUUUUCAAAAAUAUUAAUAUUUUGCACUUGUAUAGUUCUUUACCUUUGCAUUCUAGUUUGAUUGGUAAUUUUCUUUUGUUAAGUGUAAGAAUACAUUUCGUGUUAAAAAUAAUAUAUAUUAAUUGAGUCCUUAAAUGAUUCAUCACUAUUUGAUUCAAUUAUCAUCAAUAUAUCUUGUUAAAUAAUAGAUUUCUUAAAGGGAAAUUGAUUUGAUAGUGUUACGUUGAAAAUGUGGUCGCCGAAAUAUGUGUUUUGUGGUGUAUGUCUUAUAUUUAAGAAAAAACUAACAAAUAACCGAAAAAACCAAAAAACCCGAUCGAGAAAAAAUUGACUUAAUUGGUUUGGUUUGAUUUUAAUAUUUGAAAAACUUACUUGGUUUGGUUUUUUUAAGGAAAAACCGAUCCAAACCAAACCAUGAACACCCCUAUCUGAGAGAAUGGACUUGUAUUUGUAGCCAAUAUUUAGUUGAAAAUUGAAGAAAUGUAACUCUUCAGAAUAGUUGUUUAGGCAAAACGGCCAUAGCAUAAAUGCCAUAAAAAAUGGCUAUUUACUUAAUAAUAAACCGGGAGAAUUGAAGUGGGUGGUUGAUUUUCUAUUACAAAAACAGAAAACGGUUGGAUUUAUUAUUAAUAUUAUUAGAUUUAAUAUUAAUAUUUUGUUAUUAUAAUGGAUUUUAAUAAUAUUUGUGUUAAUAUUUGUUAUUAACAAAUAAAUGUGGUCCAAAAACCUAUUUAAGCAAUCAUUUGACCAAAAUUCGAAUCCGAAUCCGAGCCGAGUGACGACGACGACGACAAUAUGAUGCUUUCGUUCUUCUCAACUAUUUAAGAGCUAGAAGAAGAGCAAUUGCUUAUAUUCCCAUAAAAACCCUCUUCCUCUUCCAAUAUGGGACAAUGUCCCUUCAUCAAGGAGGAAAUCUCAAAUGAAACUCAAAUAUUUUAUUUUCCCUCCAUUUCCAAUUCACUCUCUUUAAGCAUUAAUAUACUUAAAAAACAAUCCUCCCACAUGAAUGUGGAAUGGCUAUAUCAUAGAAACAUGCAUGAAAAACUGUGUGAUUCUCAAGCAAGGAUUAGUUGCAUCUGGAUAACAUUCACCAUGUUUUAAGCAUUAAUAUACUUAAAAAACCCAACAAUCCUCCACAUGAAUGUGGAAUGGAUAUAUCAUGGAAAUAUGCAUGAAAAACCGUUCCAUUCGCAAGUAAGGAUUAAUUGCAUCUGGAUAAGUAGGUUUUUCUUUGAACUUUUCAUAGUAAAUUUAUGUCGGAAAUACUCGGUCAAUCGGUAGAUUUGAUAUCUUUGAGCCGUCGAACUUUGGUGCAUACCUAGACAAUCAUAAGUCACAAAACCAACCCUUAACUGUCUUUGGUUCUCAUUCUUGUGUUCGUUUCAGCCAUGAACACCGCGUGGUUUUAUAAGUGCGUAGAGAACUGGCCUUACAAAGUCUUCUUGAAGCGGCUAGCACUUCACACUUAUAUAGGUGAUUCCUAAACGUGUCAUCCCGUAGAUACACUAUUUGAUAUACCUCGUAUCAAAUUUAGUAAUCAUUAAACAACCUUAAUGCUUUAUCCUUGGGACUGAACAUUGUCUCGUCACGAGAAUGGACCAAAUUUUAGUUGACAAUGUUGAACAGUUAUUAAUGACUUUGUUUGAUCUCCUUGAACCUAGUUCUUGGGAUCUCCAGUCUUCUAGGUAGAGUUACCGCCAUAAUGACUUGUUCUCGGCCAUAGUCCUAUUCCCUUUGAUGAUUUCUCAACUACCUCUCUAGUUAGGCCUUUAGUAAGUGGAUCUGAUAUAUUAUCACUUGACUUUACAUAGUCAAUUGUGAUAAUUCCUCUAGAGACUAAUUGCCUAAAGAUUUUAUAUCUUCAUCGUAUAUGACGAGAUUUACCAUUAUGCAAAACUCUCCUAGCCCUUCCAAUUACCAGUUGACUAUCACACUGUAUGCAUAUUGGUGCCAAUGAUUUGGGCCAAAAUGAAAUAUCUUCCAAGAAAUUCCAGAGCCAUUCACUUUCUUCACCGGUUUUAUCUAAGGCUAUAAACUCAGCCUCUAUUGUAGAGCAGGUGAUACAAGUUUGUUUGGAUGACUUCUAAGAUACCUCUCCUCCACCAAUAGUAAAUACAUAUCCGCUUGUAGACCUGAUCCAAUUUUCAUCACAGUAUCCUUCAUUCACCGCAGGAUAUUUACUGUAGUGAAAAGUAAAGUCUGGGUAUGUUCUAAUUAUUCCAAAACUCAUUUCAUUGCCAUCCAAUAAUAUUGACCUGGAUUGUUUGUGUAUCGACUCAAUUUACUUUAGCACAAGCUAUAUAUGGUUGUGCAUAAUUCAUGAUGUACAUUAAGCAGCCCAGUACCGAGCAUAAUCCAAUUGUGAUAUGCUUUGGCCUUUGUUCUUUGCUAAUGCAAGAUUUACGUCAAUUCGAGUCUUUGCAACUUUAAACCCUAAAUGCUUUAAUUUUCAAGUACUUUCUUAAUAUAAUGAUAUUGUGACAAUGCCAAACCUUGAAUAGUCUUAUGGAUCUUCAUUUCCAGAAUUAAAUCAGCAACUCCCAACUCUUUCAUGUCAAGCUUUCCAGUUAGCAUACGCUUUAGUCGUAUUUAUGUUGGCAAUGUCAUUACUCAUUAUCAACAUAUCAUCCACAUAUAAGCAAACAAUGACUGUGUGAUUUGAAAUAUUUUUAGUGCACACACAUUUAUCAUAUUCAUUUAUCUUUAAAUCAUUUGACAAUAUUAUUUGGUCAAAUUUAUCAUGCCAUUAUUUGAUUGCUUUUUUUAGCCCGUAAAGGGACUUAACAAGUCUAAAAACCUUUUUUUCUUUACCUGAAACUACAAAACCUUCAGGUAGUUCCAUGUUUAUUUCUUCCUCCAAAUCUCCAUUCAAGAAGGCAGUCUUAACAUCCAUUUGAUGAAUUUCAAUGCCAUACGCUGCAGCUAAUGCAACUAAUAUGGACUUAAUUCUUGUAACUGGCGAGUAUGUAUCAAAGUAGUCAAGACCUUCUCAUUAUCUAUACCCUUUGACUAUAUGUCUUUCCUUAAAUUUAUCAAUAGCGCCAUCAUUUAACGGUUUAUUUCCAGGAAGAAGAUCAACCAAUUCCCAUGUAUGGUUUUUCAAUAUGGAUUCUAUUUCACUAUUGACUACCUCUUUCCAAAUAAUGAUUCCGUAGAAGACAUAGCUUCUUGAAAUGUUUGAGGCUCAUUGUCCAUGAAGAAAGUCACAAAAUCUGGUCCAAAUGAAGUAGACAUUCUUUGGCGUUUACUACAUUUUGGAUCCUCCUAAUUAAAUGUGCUUUCCUUUGAUUCUUCCCGAGGUCGUUUAGAUCCUUCAUCAAUCGACUCAUAUUCCUUUUUGUACGGAUAUAUAUUUUCAAAUAACUCAGCAUUAGAUUCUAUAACAGUAUUAUUAUGAGUGUCGGGGCUAUUUAAUUUAUCAACCAGAAAUUGAUAUGCUUUACUAUUGGUCGCAUAUUAUAUGAAAACACCAUCGACACUUUUUGGUCGUAUUUUUAACCUUUUGGGUUUAGGAACUUUCACUUUUGCCGAACACCCCCACACUUUAAAAUAAUUCAAGUUGGGCUUCCUUCCUUUCCAUUUUUUCAUAUGGACUGGAUUAUGUUUUGCUAUGGGGUACUCGAUUUAAUUUUAGGUUAGUCGUAAGAAUGGCCUCCCCCCACAAGUUCUGUGGCAAACCAAAACUUAUCAACAAUGCGUUUAUCAUUGUCACACCUCCUUUUUCUAGCCCCGUAAGGGUAUAAGGGAGAUUUUAUUCCAAUUUAAGUGACAAUCGAAACGAGAUUUAUUAUAAAAAGAUUAAGAGUCUCCACUUGGGAUAGUUAGGGUGUCCCAAGUCACCAGUUCAAAUCCCAUAUCGAGGAAAAAAUUUGACUAUAUUACAGUCUGCGAACCAAAAAUCCGGGUAAGGAAUUCUGUUAAUCCGGGUAAAGGUGUUUGGGAUUUCCGAGUUCCAUGGUUCUAUCACGGUUGCUCAACUGUUAUUACUUGCCUAUUAUCUAAUAUUAGAACAUUUGGGACCUACGUGCAUUUUAUCUUUAAAACCACUUUUAUUUAUUUUAAAGAAGAUUUAACGUCGUCUAAAAUAUAUCUUUGGACCGUGCCACAUGAAAUGCACCUGCAAUCCGAAACACAUUUUACUUAACGUUAUUAAGAUUUGGAUUUGGGUCACAUGAAAUGCACACCCGAGUUUAGGAAGGUAAUAUUAUUAAAAUAACGCGCCUAAAAUAACUAUGCGUUUUUAACUUUGCGAGGACAAUGAAAAAUUUGCUAAAUGGCACGCCUCAAGUCCCAAGGAUCAAAACAAGAUUAACUAAACGAGAUCCAUGCAAUUCUCAUUUUUGUUCGGUACGAAUCGAUUUAUUCUAACUUCUAGACUUAGUUAUGAGGGCCGUAGCUAUUUGUAUUAUUUAACAUGGCACACUUCAACUUAAUCAAACGAAUUAUUCUAAAGUUAUCAACUAUCCUCUGAACAUUGUAGUUCCUAGUAUUUUCAAUUUGAAGGGCAUCGAGAUAGUUCAAGAUUUAGGAUUAUAGUUAAUGUCUACAACAACUCAUUACUAAUUGAUAAAUUAAUGGUCUAAGUGACUUAAUUAAGCAAGAAGCAAUCAGAUGAUCAAAAGAAAAGGGCCUUAGCAAGAAUCAAAUUUUAAUGAGUCAUUCAUGCAAGUCAAGCUCAAUUUGACCCUUCAACAUGUAUUUAUAAUUAAAAAGAUCCAAGGUUUAAUCUACCACAUAAAGGAUCACUAUAGGCAUUUUAUGACCUUUAAAACGAGAUCCAAAUUGAUAUGAUCCAUAGCCUGAAAACACGCCUUUAGCCUUAAGGCCAAUCCUCCGAAAAAAUAGAAACUCAUAUGUACACUUUGAAUCAACAUGAUGGCUUCUAACAAACUAAAUCUUCAAGAGUCGAACCCGACAUUAUCGAGCUUGAACAGAUUUCAAGGAAAAAUGCUGCUCUUAUUCAACUUUAUUUUACCUAUAUAUUUCAUCUUGGUAAUGUAUUACUGAAUUUAAAAAAAAAUCAAACCAGUCACACAAUUUCACUCCUACGUCAUGAAGGCCAAAUUCAACUAACUAAUCAAGUUAAAAAAAAUGCUCAAAACCUCAUGAAGAUUAAAUUCAAUGUUGACAUUCAAUUCACAACUUAAGGUUAAAAACAAAUAAACCAAACAUCAACUACAAUUUUAUAAAAAAAAUUUAGACAAAAGAAGCUAAACAUCAGCUACAAUUUCAUAGCAGAACAUAUCGAAGAUAGCUCAUAGAGAACAUACUUAGUCGCACAGAGCUAAAAUUUAAAGGAAGCGAGGCCAAAUAGAGGCUGGAAUCAACACCCUUAUAGCCCAGACUAAAAUUAAUUACAAAGAAACAAUGAACUAAGCUAUAAAAUACCAUAAAACAAAGUGAUAAGACUAAACUCAUAACAGAAAGCUGAAAACAUGUUUGAACUUUAGAAUUUUCAUUUUUAUUCCUCAAAUCAAUCUUCACAUGAGGUAUAAUGUAGAAGUGUACCUGGAAAUUGAAAAGGAAGAAAGAAGUGAGGAAGCAAUAAGCAGCAAACAACCCAGUAAUCAACACCCAUGAAGAGUAGACCAAACAAACACCAGCUUGAUUUAGCCAAUGAAACAGUAAAAUUCCCUCAUAAAAAUCGACAGAAUAGUAACCCUAUCAACAAACUUAAAGCAACUCUUUUCAAUACCGAGUUCAAUCCAUUUUUCACCUUAAAGAAAAUCAAAAAUUGCUUCAGUAGUGGAAAACUUUUGAAUUCAAAGCAGAGAAAGAAUGGAAUAAUAUUUUUCAUAAGUUUUAGCUAUUUGUGAUUUUUCUAGAAUUGUAUCUCUUAAAAUCUGCCUUGAAAUGCAAGAUGGGGUGCCUUUAUAGGCAAGGCAUUAGGG